ensembl:miRNA
GACUUGGUCAAAGCUCCUCAGCAGAUGUUUCAGAGAAUCCUGAGGCGUUUAGAACAAGUUCA